rnacentral:rRNA from 1 species
UACGGAGGGUGCGAGCGUUGUCCGGAAUCAUUGGGCGUAAAGGGCGCGUAGGUGGCGCGGCAAGCGUGCGGUGAAAGCUCGGGGCUCAACCCCGAGUCGGCCGUGCGAACUGCUGUGCUUGAGCACUGUAGAGGCAGGCGGAAUUCCGGGUGUAGCGGUGGAAUGCGUAGAGAUCCGGAAGAACACCGGUGGCGAAGGCGGCCUGCUGGGCAGUGGCUGACACUGGGGCGCGACAGCGUGGGGAGCAAACAGG